UUUUACCCCUCAUAGCAUUGUCAAUGCACUGGAUCCCAUCAGAACUCCGCAGUUAAGCGAGCCUAGGCUAGAGUAGUACUAGGAUGGGUGACCUCCCGGGAAGUCGUAGUGUUGUACCCU
rnacentral:rRNA from 1 species